UGAGGGAUAUUGGUCAAUGGGCGCAAGCCUGAACCAGCGACGCCGCGUGGGUGAAGAAGGUCUUCGGAUCGUAAAGCCCUUUUCCCACGGAAGAGGAAGGACGGUAGGUGGGGAAGAAGUCUCGGCUAACUACGUGCCAGCAGCCGCGGUAAAACGUAGGAGGCAAGCGUUAUCCGGAGUUACUGGGCGUAAAGGGCGUGCAGGUGGCGUCUAAAGUCUGUUGUGAAAGCGCCUGGCUUAACCGGGCGAGGCCAAUGGAGACUGAGAGGCUGGAGGACGGCGGAGGGGUGUGGAAUUCCGAUUGUGGUGGUGAACUGCGUAGAGAUCAUGAGGAACACCAGAGGCGAAGGCGGUACUCUAAGCCGUACCUGACACUGAUACGCUACAGCACGGGGAGCAAACG
rnacentral:rRNA from 1 species